rnacentral:lncRNA from 1 species
GUUGAUCUGAUCUCCAACAUCCUCCACGUCAAUUCCCACUCCACCCACAUCCCUUAUCCUAUACGUAAGCUUUCCAGCCACGGUGCUGGCUUGGGUGGGGGUGCGUGCGGUGCUGACACCAAAAUGGAGGUCCCGUGUUUCUGAGAGUCUCUUUCAGAGCAAUGCAAACCUGAAACUACUCCUGCCAAGAAACGAUUGCAGCUCUUCCCGGAAAAGUUAAAGCCUUUGAGAAACAAAGCUGAGGUUGAAAGUAUUAGUCCAUUUUAUAGAUGAAGAAAUGGAGGCCCAGAGAGAUCACGUGACUUAGCCAAGUCCACCAACUAAUAUUGGGAAGCUCAGCAGGGUCCUGGGGGCCCACAGGAAUGUGAAUAAACACGCUUGGAAAGUCUGCAGAAUUUCCAGUCCUAGCCUCCUGCUGGUGUGAACCUGGGCUCCUGUGCCUGGGACCCUGGGAGGGCCUAGGGGAUGCCAAAUUCCAGGGUCCAGAAAGAGCUUGGGAUAAAAUGAACAUCCAAGGGGAGGGCUUUGACCUGGGCUGAGUCUGCCUGUGCCGAGUCUGCCUGUGCCAUCCAACUGGAGUCUCAAGUCCUGAGGCAGGACGUCCAGAUGCCCCAGUGCAGGGUCCUCCUGAUCAACACCUGCUCCCCUGUACUCAUUAGCAACCUCACCCACCCUACUCUCAAAGCACACUUGGCUCUCAUAUCCAGGAGCUCUGCAUCUGUAGAUUCAGCAACAGCAGAUGGAAAAUAUUCAGAAAAUAAAUUGGACAGUUAUAUUUCUAUUGAA